GCGAGUGAAGCGGGAAGAGCUCAAGCUUAAAAUCUCCGUGCAAGUUUUGUGCGGCGAAUUGUAGUCUAUAGAGGCGUGGUCAGCGUGGGCGCUUGGGGCAAGUUCCUUGGAAGAGGACAGCAUGGAGGGUGAUACUCCCGUUCAUCCCUGAGUGGCUCGUGCGUACGACCCGUUUUCUUUGAGUCGCGUUGUUUGGGAAUGCAGCGCAAAGUAGGUGGUAAAUUCCAUCUAAAGCUAAAUAUUGGUGCGAGACCGAUAGCGAACAAGUACCGUGAGGGAAAGAUGAAAAGAACUUUGAAAAGAGAGUUAAAGAGUACCUGAAACUGCUGAAAGGGAACCGAAUCGUUUCCAGUGUCUAUAAUCUGUGGCAUAUUUCAUUGGCGAGCGUUUGCGUGCGUGUGCUGUGGCAGUGGCUUUUUUGGCUGCGCCUGGUGUGUGUGGUGUGAGUGUUUGCUGGUGCCCUGUGCUGCGGUGGGACGUCAAGGUCAGUUCGUAUGCUGCGGGAAAUGGCUGCCGAGGAGGUAGGGCUUACGCUCCGCGUUUGUCUGUUAUAUCUUGGUGGACGAGUCGUCGCGGUUGGGACUGAGGUGCCUACAACGUGCUUUUGAGUGGGUUUGUGUCUCCGUGUGCGCCGUGUGCGGAUAGCUUGCUAUGCGUGUGUGGUUGUGUGUGGAAUUGAUGCGGG
rnacentral:rRNA from 1 species